AUGUCUUGUUGAUAAGUUGAUAACCAGCUUCGUAGUACAACUUAUCCAGAUCCUGAAUGUCUGGAUAAGUUAACCCAGGUAACGGAGGGAAAUCGGGGGUAUGUUAAUCAC